rnacentral:tRNA from 1 species
GCUCCGAUGGUCUAGUUCGUUUGCCUGAAUUCCUUGUGCUUAAGGUGCGAUUUACUGACUCAUGGAACCAGGUGGUAUGAUUCUCGCUUAGGGUGCGAGAGGCCCCGCGUUCGAAUCGCGGUUGGAGCC